rnacentral:rRNA from 1 species
AAAGCCUCUAAGCAUCAGGUAACAUCAAAUCGUACCCCAAACCGACACAGGUGGUCAGGUAGAGAAUACCAAGGCGCUUGAGAGAACUCGGGUGAAGGAACUAGGCAAAAUGGUGCCGUAACUUCGGGAGAAGGCACGCUGAUAUGUAGGUGAAGCGACUUGCUCGUGGAGCUGAAAUCAGUCGAAGAUACCAGCUGGCUGCAACUGUUUAUUAAAAACACAGCACUGUGCAAACACGAAAGUGGACGUAUACGGUGUGACGCCUGCCCGGUGCCGGAAGGUUAAUUGAUGGGGUUAGCGGUAACGCGAAGCUCUUGAUCGAAGCCCCGGUAAACGGCGGCCGUAACUAUAACGGUCCUAAGGUAGCGAAAUUCCUUGUCGGGUAAGUUCCGACCUGCACGAAUGGCGUAAUGAUGGCCAGGCUGUCUCCACCCGAGACUCAGUGAAAUUGAACUCGCUGUGAAGAUGCAGUGUACCCGCGGCAAGACGGAAAGACCCCGUGAACCUUUACUAUAGCUUGACACUGAACAUUGAGCCUUGAUGUGUAGGAUAGGUGGGAGGCUUUGAAGUGUGGACGCCAGUCUGCAUGGAGCCGACCUUGAAAUACCACCCUUUAAUGUUUGAUGUUCUAACGUUGGCCCGUAAUCCGGGUUGCGGACAGUGUCUGGUGGGUAGUUUGACUGGGGCGGUCUCCUCCUAAAGAGUAACGGAGGAGCACGAAGGUUGGCUAAUCCUGGUCGGACAUCAGGAGGUUAGUGCAAUGGCAUAAGCCAGCUUGACUGCGAGCGUGACGGCGCGAGCAGGUGCGAAAGCAGGUCAUAGUGAUCCGGUGGUUCUGAAUGGAAGGGCCAUCGCUCAACGGAUAAAAGGUACUCCGGGGAUAACAGGCUGAUACCGCCCAAGAGUUCAUAUCGACGGCGGUGUUUGGCACCUCGAUGUCGGCUCAUCACAUCCUGGGGCUGAAGUAGGUCCCAAGGGUAUGGCUGUUCGCCAUUUAAAGUGGUACGCGAGCUGGGUUUAGAACGUCGUGAGACAGUUCGGUCCCUAUCUGCCGUGGGCGCUGGAGAACUGAGGGGGGCUGCUCCUAGUACGAGAGGACCGGAGUGGACGCAUCACUGGUGUUCGGGUUGUCAUGCCAAUGGCACUGCCCGGUAGCUAAAUGCGGAAGAGAUAAGUGCUGAAAGCAUCUAAGCACGAAACUUGCCCCGAGAUGAGUUCUCCCUGAGACUUAGAGUCUCCUGAAGGAACGUUGAAGACGACGACGUUGAUAGGCCGGGUGUGUAAGCGCAGCGAUGCGUUGAGCUAACCGGUACUAAUGAACCGUGAGGCUUAACCUU